GAUGAACGCUGGCGGCGUGCCUAACACAUGCAAGUCGAGCGAGAAAUUUCCAAAUGAAGCUUCGGUAGAUUUUGGAGAUGGAAAGCGGCGGACGGGUGAGUAACGCGUAGGCAACCUGCCCUUUGCAGAGGGAUAGCCAUUGGAAGCGAUGAUUAAAACCUCAUAAUACCGGUAAGUCACAUGUCAUACCGGUCAAAGAUUUAUCGGCAAAGGAUGGGCCUGCGUCUGAUUAGCUAGUUGGUGGGGUAACGGCCUACCGAGGCGACGAUCAGUAGCCGACCUGAGAGGGUGAUCGGCCACAUUGGAACUGAGACACGGUCCAAACUCCUACGGGAGGCAGCAGUGGGGAAUAUUGCACAAUGGGCGAAAGCCUGAUACAGCAACGCCGCGUGAAGGAAGAAGGUCUUCGGAUCGUGAACUUCUGUCCUUGGGGAAGAUAAUGACGGUACCCUUGGAGGAAGCCCCGGCUAACUACGUGCCAGCCGCCGCAGUAA
rnacentral:rRNA from 1 species